GGGAAUAAGACAGGCAGCCAGUCAGACUCCGU
rnacentral:piRNA from 1 species